rnacentral:rRNA from 1 species
GACGAACGCUGGCGGCGUGCUUAACACAUGCAAGUCGAACGGAAAGGCCCUGCUUUUGUGGUGUGCCCGACGGGCGAACGGGUGAGUAACACGUGAGUAACCUGCCCUUGGCUUUGGGAUAACUUCCGGAAACCUGGGCUAAUACCGGACAUUACCGCCUGCUCCACGGUGGGGGUUGCAUCGUCUCGGCGCUUGGGCCUGGACUCGCGGCUUCUCGGCUUGUUGGUGGGGUAGUGGCUUACCAAGGCUUUGGCGGGUAGCCGGCCCGGGAGGGUUGACGGCCACCUUGCGACUGAGGUCGGGCCCAGGCUCCUACGGGCGGCAGCAGGGCGGAACCUUGCACCAUGGCCGGAAGCCUGAUGCAGCAGCGCGGCGCGCGGGCUGAGGGCCUUCGGGUUGUAAACCGCUCUCGCAUGUGACGAAGCGUGAGUGACGGUAAUGGGUAAAGAAGCACCGGCUAACUCCGUG